rnacentral:rRNA from 1 species
AGAGUUUGAUCAUGGCUCAGGAUGAACGCUAGCUACAGGCUUAACACAUGCAAGUCGAGGGGCAGCAUGUUGGUUGCUUGCAACCAAUGAUGGCGACCGGCGCACGGGUGAGUAACGCGUAUCCAACCUACCCUUGUCCAUCGGAUAACCCGCCGAAAGGCGGCCUAACACGAUAUGCGGUUCACAGCAGGCAUCUAAGGUGAACGAAAUGUGAAGGAGAAGGAUGGGGAUGCGUCUGAUUAGCUUGUUGGCGGGGUAACGCCACAAGGCUACGAUCAGUAGGGGUUCUGAGAGGAAGGUCCCCCCANAUUGGAACUGAGACACGGGUCCAAACUCCUACGGGAGCA